rnacentral:rRNA from 1 species
AACGUAGCGAAAUGCGAUACUUGGUGUGAAUUGCAGAAUCCCGUGAACCAUCGAGUCUUUGAACGCAAGUUGCGCCCGAAGCCCUCGGGCCGAGGGCACGUCUGCCUGGGUGUCAUGCAUC